AGCCUGGCAACAGAGUGAGAAUCCAUCUCAAGCACACAAAAAACAAUUCUUUUAAAAUCAUGUAAAAAAUAGAAUUCCAAUGGAGGAGGUUAAAAGACUUUCCAAUUGGGCAAAGUAACUACAGUUGGUGAAAACAUUCAAAGUUGGCAGCAAGACCUGUUGUGGUAUUCCAUUCAGUGGAUCUCAUUUCAAUGUAUUACUUCAUUGUGCAAUUAAUGAAAUCCAAGGAUCUCCACAGGAGUGGCAUCCACUGAAGAGGCAUCCAGGCUUAGUUUCCUAGUAACCACUCCUAAUUUUUUGAAUUCUAUUAUAUUUCUAGAGGCAACAUCCUCCAAUAUUGUGAGUGGCAUGCUUUAAAACUGAAGAUUAUGGAUGAAAUUAAAUUUGCAAGUCCACUGACCUUAAAAUCGUGUUAUUAUACUGGAUUAUUUAGGUGAGCCCAAUAGUAUCACAAAUGUUCUUCAGUGUGGUAGAGGGAGGCAGAAGAGGAAGAACAAGAGCAAUGACAAUAUAGCUUUUACAUUCAAAUGUCCAAGAGCUCUUUCUUAUACAAAGAAACUUUUUUGUUUGUUUUAUACCAUCCUAGUCUUCUUUAGUAUAUAAAAUAAGGGUCAGAUGGCAAUGACAUUCUACCUUUAAUUUACUUUGAAGAAAGUAACUCUCAUCCUAGGAUUCAACAUUGAGGGUGAAAGAGGGAAGGAAGCAAGAAACCAAAGUAAAGUCCAGUUGUUUGUGUAAAUGCCCUUCAAUUUGGAUCUUUCUGAUGUUCUCUCAUAAUUAGAUUCAGCUUAUGCAUUUUGUUUGUUUAUCAGAAAUACUUUGUAAGUAAUACUGAGUCCUAAUUGUAUCACAUUAUGAUCAGUUUGUUCCAUUAUUGGUGAUGUUGGCUAUGGUGGCAUCCUUCAAGUUAUAAUACAAUAAAAUUACUAUUUUUACUCUUUAUAAUUGGUAAGUAAUUUAUGGGACAAUAAAGAUUUUCUUUUCUACUCAAAAAAUGUAAAAUAAUUUGAAGUUCAAAGUAAAUGAAUAUAUUUUUUAGUUCUUAACCAAGAAAAAUAACCCACAGUCCCCUCAAAUAAAUAAUAAAGCUUCAUUUAUCAACAGUGUCUAUCAGUGUCUGUUUAGGGGUAAUCAGAGUUAUGCUUCCACCUAUGACGGAUUAAAUGCUAAGGAAUUAUCUGCUCAUCUUGAACAAUUAGAACGUCAGACAAAAGGUAAUAAACAAUGGUUUUCAGACAUUGGACAAUUUGUACCAGUUUUCUGAUCCCUGAGAAAAAGGAAACAAAUGAGUCCUUUAAUUGCCCCAUGCUCAUUGCCUGUAGGCAGUUUCCAAAAUACAGCACAAGGAAAGAGACCCAAACACAGCCUGGCAGUCUUGCUGAGUGUAAGAGACACAAAUUAGAAUUCAGGGAGGUUUAGGUGGUUAGAAUUUGCAGGAUAGAAGAGGAGGGAGCUGCACAGAAAGAAAUAUACGCAGGAGCUCCAGAGAUCUGCAGAGGAAUAUACUUGCAUUUUUGGCAGAGUUCUAAUCUAUGCAUGCAUGACAAGAAACUACCUAUAGCUGGUAGAAAGGAAAAAAUAUCAAAAGGCCAAACAAUUCCCAAAGCUCCUUCAGAGUUGGGAAUUGUUCAUGUACACACUUAAAGAAAUGGACAGACCUUGUAAGAUACAAAAGCAUCAGGUCACAGCUUAUAGUGAGGCUAAAUCAGGAUAGUGGGGCUAUCUAAAAAAAAAAAAAAAAAAGACUGCUCUAGAUCUGUCGGUAACAACUUAAAAGCAAUUCUUAAAGUGAUCAAACUUACCCUCAAACAAAAUUCAUCACUCACUAUAUAAAUAAAGCAAAAAUCUAAAGUCCAACAGCUAAUAGCAACAAAAAAACUAAAAAUAUCUAGCAUCCAACUUAAAAAUCCAGGCAUGCAAAGAAGAGAUAUAUGACAUACAGCCAGGAGGAAAAACAAUUACUAGAAAAAGACUCAUAAAUAAAAAAUGAAAAAGAUGAUGAUUUCAAUGGACAGGGAUCUGAAAGCAGAUAUUUUAAAUCAAAUGUAAAGAAAAACAUGAACAUAUGAGGAAUAUUUAAAUAAGACCCAUAUAAGAUCUUGAGAUAAAAAAAUAUGAAAUUUCAUUUCAUAUGAAAUGAAAAAUACAUUGGAUGGAAUUAACAGCAGAUAAUACACUGGAAAAGAAACAUCAGAGAACAAAUAAAAUAGCAAUAGAAAUUAUUCAAAAUGAAGCACAGAAGAGAAAGGGCAGGGAAAAAAAUAAACAGAGCCUAAAUAAGCUGUGGCAAAUAUCAAGCCGGGUAACAUUUGCCUAAUUGGAGUCCCAAGUAGGAAGGGAGAAAAAUAUCUAAAACAAAUAAUGACACAGGAUUUUCUCGCCCCUUCACCAGACUCGCAACAGAGGCACCCUGUUUACUCGGCCACCAUGCUCAACCCCUUGUGGGAGGGAGCAUGUGAGCGAGCAAGUGUGGGAUCUGACUGGCCAUUCCGGGCACUGGCAGGAGAAAGCUCCAUGCAAGGCCCACAGUAGCACCCAGGUGAGGGUGCCCAUGACCCUGAAGCCCCAGAGUGGGUGUUAUAGUGUUCUCUUAGUUCUCCCUCUGUAGACAGUGGUGUGUUAGCAGCUCAGCUGGCCCCUUGCCUCAGUGCAUGGAGCAACGGGGCGACUGCCCUCUACCAGCAAGGGUAAAAGGCUGGUGUCAGAGCCUUUCUAGGUACCCACGCUUGGUGGGUCCUGAGCUCUUGUCUGGUGUCCAAGAAGAAUGAGGUCGUGUAGACAACUGAAGGACGGUGAGGUGGAGAAUUUUACUGAGCAAUGAAAAUGGCUCUCAGCGGAGAAGGGAGCUGGAGAGGGGACAGAAAGCGCACGUCACCUUCCCUGAAGUCAGGUUAUCUCUCCCUGAAGUUCAGUCCUAUCCCUCGAAAGGGCACGUCACCUUCCCCGAAGUCAGGUUAUCUCUUCCUGAAGUUCAGUCGUAUCCCUCGAAGUCCAGCCAUCUCCCUCCUUAUCAACUGAGUCUGGGAUCUUUAUAAGCAGAGGAUGGGGGUGGGGCAGGCCGUAGGUAGUUUUGGAAAAGGCAACAUUUGAUUGGUAAAAGGGCAUUAUUCAGAAAGAACCAACUGGGAGAGAGUAGGUAAACCUUGGGCCAUGGGUUUCAGGCUGUUUGCUUUUUUUUGGCCUGAAGGUGGGGUUUCACUGGGCACCCAUCCCUGUCUGCCUAGAAUUUCUCUAUCUCCUGCCUCUAUCAAUAAUAGCUGAAAUUUUUCCAAAUUUCAUGAAAACUAGAAACUAUCAGAUCCCUAAAGCUCAACACCAAGCAGAAGAAACACAGAGAAAACCACACAAAGGGAUAGCAUAAUCAAAAUACUGGCAAUGACAGAGAAUAUCUUUAAAACAGUCAGAGAAAAAGGGAUUUGUUCUUACAGAGCAGGGUUCAGUAAACUACAAUACACACGCUGGACAUCUGUUUUCAUUACUAAAGUUUCGAUGGAACACAGUCAUACCCUUUCAUUUACACAUUAUCUAUUGGGACUUUCACACUAUACCAAAAAUUGAGUAGCUGUAACAAACACCAUUGUGACCGACAAGCCUAAAAUAUUUACUAUUUGACACUUUAAGAAAAAGUUUGUAGUUCCUUGCUACGGAGAAACAAAAAUAAGAAUGACUGAAGGUCGGCUGUCAGAAACCAUGGAGGGCAGAAAACAAUAGAAAGACACCUUUAAAGUGCUGAAAGAAAAAACUAAAAAUCUGAAUCUUGAAGUACAGGGAAAAUGUACCACGUUAAAAAUCCAAAAAGUACAUUAAAACUAUAUUUUACAUGAUAUCAAAAGAAAACCACCAACACACCAAAAAUGAAUAAUGCUUGUUUCCAGUUAUACAGAUAUUCCUAAACGGGCAAACAGUUAAUGGGAAAAGUUUUAAAAUUAUUGUAACAGGAUUUUGUUACUUUGCUACUUAAAAGGUAAAUUCCAACUCCUUGUUUUUAGGCAGAAUUUCUUUAACUUCUUUAAUAUGGAUCUCUCAAGAGAAUCAUCACAUUCUUUCAAGUGUAAAAGGAGGACUGGCAUCCUCCUUCUGAGAUACAUAGGCUGAAGAACAAAUCAUUAAGCCUCCCACUGUGCUUAAAUGAAAUCACUCUUGGGAUAAAAUAGUUAAUUUCAGUCAAAUUAAUUUUUUGGAACACUAUUUGCUUGUAUUAAAAAAGAUCAUAACAUUCCUCAUAAAAUAAAUUAUCUAAAGUUUGAAAAAGUAUUUUUAACAAAAGUAAUCACUUUUAGUCAUGGCAGUCAUACAAAUGUUUAACAUAUUUGUACAACAAAAGUGAAUCUCAUAAUUACUUUUCCCGUACUCUACUUAUAAUGAUCUUUCCCAUGGAUAAAGGCCCUCUAUGUGGUUUAAUCAAUGACAAUACCCUGAAACAGUCCUUUUCUGCUUCUAUAUACUAGUUGAAGACAGCAUGCUAAUGUUUAUAGUUUAUUAUAAUAAUUACUUGAUAAUUUUAGUUAUUCUAGAUACAGCUAUUUAGCAUGAGGAAAAUGUUUAACUAGCAUCUACAUAUCAAUAUAUAAUUUAUACAUCUCUCUCAGGCAAUGUAACAGAUUGAAUAACACUACUCUUUAAAAGUAGACAUUAUUUCACAAGACUAAGAUAUCUAUUGGCAUAUUUUAAACUAGAAACACCUUAAUUAAUCAAAACUAGGUAACAUGGAUACUAUUCUGUCUUCACUAAGUAUUAAUAGCCUUGGAUAUAGAACUGGUAAAUAAAAAAGAUACACAAAAUCAAAUAAUUAAAUACACUGAUUAGGCACUGAUAAAUAUAUAUGAAUGUAGAUAAAAGUAAAACAGUCUUUUAAAGGAAAAUAUGUGUUUAAGAAUGAUCAGAAAUUAUAAUCUGAGAUAACUGACAUAAUAAUACACAAGUUACCCACCAAACAUGACUGGUAUGACAAAAUGAAAGUUAACCCUGAAUGUUAAAAAUCUACAACUAAAGAUAUUGAUUCCUUUAAUAUAAAAUGUGACUUUUCUGACAUGCAUAUCAGAAAAGGGAUGUAAUGACAAAUUUGUAGGUGGACCAAACAUUUUCAAACUUAAAGUUGAUGAUAAUUAUUAAAAUGUUGAUUGUCAUUCUCAAACGGCUUUACCCUUGCAUUUAUCCCUUGAGAAGUGACAUUUUUGGAAGGGGCUGUAGUAAGUUAUAAUAUGAAAGUUGAUGUUAAUUUAUAUUAAUUUAAAAACAUAUCUGAUAUUAAGAGAUUAGUCCAUGACCUUCAAAAAGUUUAGUUUUCAUUACUUACCUCAUCACUUGAAUAAAAAUAAAUGAAAAAUGUAUUAUUUUUCACUAGACAUCAAUUUUAAAGUUGCUAUGGUUAGGGAAAGCUCUACAUGAUUUUAAAGCAAUAUAAGUCAGUCCUGAGGCAGACAGAGUGCUAGGGAUUCAGCAUCCUUUUGAUGAGUUUCCAGAUAUUGAUAAUUCAAUAGGCACAUUUUUUAAAAGAAGGUGGCAGAGAUUUCUACUUGAUAGACAUUUCAGUCAACCUUUAGUAAAGUUUAGCGGUAAUGGGGUAGGUAUUACUGUAACGGAAAAACACUAAAAUGCCAAAAUUGCAACAGUGGAACAA